UACGAAGGGUGCAAGCGUUACUCGGAAUUACUGGGCGUAAAGCGUGCGUAGGUGGUUCGUUAAGUCUGUCGUGAAAGCCCCGGGCUCAACCUGGGAAUGGCGAUGGAUACUGGCGGGCUAGAGUGCGGUAGAGGAGAGUGGAAUUGCCGGUGUAGCAGUGAAAUGCGUAGAGAUCGGGAGGAACAUCAGUUGCGAAGGCGGCUCUCUGGACCAGCACUGACACUGAGGCACGAAAGCGUGGGGAGCAAACAGG
rnacentral:rRNA from 1 species